UUUUAUUGUUAACAUUAAUGAGAGAGACAUGCAGCUAUAUAAGACUAGGCUACUGUAAUGCACGGAUCUAGUACAAUAUUACACAUCAGACGUUUUCCCCCAACGGUUCCCCAAAUGUUCAUUACAGAUUAUGUUUGCGUGAAUACUUAAAUACUAUAAUUUUAUAUAUAUGUGUGUAUAUUUAUCGGGAUCGCGCGCGCUUCGGAUGACAGUCAGCGUGAGAAACGAAAAAAGUAAGCCUCAGAAAACCUACAAAUAAAAAUAAUUAAAUAUCUAAAAUUAUUAUUUGGAGCAUGGGGGAUCGCUAGACGACGCUUUAAUUAACUCAUUUUUGUGAAAACCUCAAAAUAGACAAUAUUCACCCCCAUUUUUUUAUGCCUGUAGCUCAGGAUUAGCCCGUGCGCAUUCCGACUCAUUGGCGUCAAAUAUGUAAAUUAAGUCGUGACGCAAUCUUCUCUAACGGUCGGUUUAAUCGAUUACAAUGUUGAAGUUGACAUUUGAGACUGAAAAAGGUCAGUAAAUCGACAGACGAGAUGACAGCCUACUCAAGAUUCAAGAAAAAAGUUCAUACCGGAGUUAAUUCAAGCUCCGUUUCCUUCAUCAACCACAAGAGAGCGACAACCAUCUGAAAGUCGCUAAAGCUUAAGCGUCUUCAGUCAGUGACCGAUGAAAACCAUGAAAGGCAUUCAACGCUUCACGUCUCGCAAAGGAUCAUCUUUCAGGUAACUAACGUCAAACAACACAGACAGGUUAUAUAUAUAAAAAAAUGAACCGAACAACUACAUUUUAAUAAAAACAAAAAAAUACAAGAAAAAACAAAAUGGUUCCAUCUAAUGAGAAAUGCAUCAGGUGGUUGAGUAAAUAAAGAAUCGACAAAUAGUCAAAUUUCAGUAAAAAUGAGGCCGUUUAUUGUUAAGUUUAGAUAAUAUUUAGGACCAGAAGUCUCCUACCACAUGGCGCUGAAGCAUGUAUAAAACAAAUAAAAUCACUUUCCCCAUGCUUGAAGGUAAAAGGCCACUACAACUCUAGUACAACACCACAUUGCAUUUCAGGUUGAUGGGUAAAUUCAGAUGUUGUGGCUCAUACGAUCUUCAGUCAAAACCACAGGUAGGCACGCACUCACAGGGACAGUGGUAAUAAUGCUGAAAUUGGUUUCCAUUGUGGGAAUCAUUAAAGCAAAUUAAAUGUAUAUAAAAAUAGUCUUUCUAACUUCCAUGAGGAACAGUUCAGAAUGUUACAUCAACUUGACAGAGACAUUUGUUUCCUUCUCAUGUUCUAGUUUCUAUAACCCCAAGGCAUUUCUAUUGCAUAACAAACAAAACGACAGUGUUUCCAUCUUUUGUGGUCAGUACAGAGCACCCCUGCUCAGACUAAAGAAUAAAAAAAACAAAAAAAAAACACACAGAUUCUCAUAUACCUGGGUGCUGUGUUUAAAGUGCCAGUGAAAAGAACUUCAGGCCAUUUCAUUAGUACAAAUAAUGCUAAAAACAGUAAAUGGAUGAAACUCACAAAGCAUGUCUAAAACGUGUGUAUUUGUUUGCAUUUCACCCAAAUUUUAAAAUCAAGUUCACAUUUUAGUACAUAAAGAAAAUCAAGCAUUUUUUAAGACCAUUACUUUUUUUUUGCAUUCUAACAGUAUGAUAAUUAAACAUCUCCCAAACAUUCUCAUUACUGCAGUGAAAAUAU